rnacentral:rRNA from 1 species
AGCAGCCGCGGUAAUUCCAGCUCCAAUAGCGUAUAUUAAAGUUGUUGCAGUUAAAAAGCUCGUAGUUGAAUUUCGGGAUCAAUAUGUCGGUCGUGCUUUUUGGUACGUACUGGCGUCAUUGGUUUCUCCUUUCUGACGAACCAUGAUGUCAUUAAUUUGGUGUUAUGGGGAGUUAGGACUGUUACUUUGAAAAAAUUAGAGUGUUUAAAGCAGGCAUUAGCUUGAAUACAUUAGCAUGGAAUAAUGAAAUAGGACGUUCGAUCCUAUUUUGUUGGCUUCUAGGAUCAACGUAAUGAUUAAUAGGGAUAGUUGGGGGCAUUAGUAUUCAAUUGUCAGAGGUGAAAUUCUUGGAUUUAUUGAAGACUAACUACUGCGAAAGCAUUUGCCAAGGAUGUUUUCAUUAAUCAAGAACGAAAGUUAGGGGAUCGAAGACGAUCAGAUACCGUCGUAGUCUUAACCAUAAACUAUGCCGACUAGGGAUCGGAUGAUGUUAAUUUUUUAAUGACUCAUUCGGCGCCUU